UUCCCGCGACUGCGAACUUAUCUAUCGCUUCUCGCAACGUAAACUCAUCCAACCUCGUUUAUUCUCACAGAAACCCAUGGUCGAUAGCUUCUUCCUUGCCAAGUCCAUACAGGGCCCGACAAAAAUUGGUUUCUCAAGUAAAAGCUUUAAAACUUGAUGAGAAAAGCAUCUAUGAUGCUAGCACAAGGCAUG